CCUACGGGUGGCAGCAGUGAGGAAUAUUGGUCAAUGGACGAGAGUCUGAACCAGCCAAGUAGCGUGAAGGAUGACUGCCCUAUGGGUUGUAAACUUCUUUUAUAAAGGAAUAAAACGAGGCACGUGUGCCUUUUUGCAUGUACUUUAUGAAUAAGGAUCGGCUAACUCCGUUCCAGCAGCCGCGGUAAUACGGAGGAUCCGAGCGUUAUCCGGAUUUAUUGGGUUUAAAGGGAGCGUAGAUGGGUUGUUAAGUCAGUUGUGAAAGUUUGCGGCUCAACCGUAAAAUUGCAAUUGAUACUGGCAGUCGUGAGUACAGUUGAGGUAGGCGGAAUUCGUGGUGUAGCGGUGAAAUGCUUAGAUAUCACGAAGAACCCCGAUUGCGAAGGCAGCUUACUAAACUGUGACUGACAUUGAUGCUCGAAAGUGUGGGUAUCAAACAGGAUUAGAUACCCUAGUAGUC
rnacentral:rRNA from 1 species